rnacentral:rRNA from 1 species
AACGAACGCUGGCGGCGUGUUUAAGACAUGCAAUUCGCCCGGGAUAAGACAUGUAGUAAUACUUGUUUUAUUUAGUGGCGCACGGGUGAGUAACACGUGAAUUACAUGCCCUAUAGUGGGGAAUAGCCCAGGGAAAUUUGGAUUAAUACCCCAUGGUAUCGAAAGAUUAAAGGUGGCCGCAAGGCUGUCGCUAUAGGAUUGGUUCGCGCCCUAUCAGCUUGUUGGGGCGGUAACGGCUCACCAAGGCAAUGACGGGUACCUGGUCUGAGAGAACGAUCAGGCACACUGGAACUGAGACACGGUCCAGACACCUACGGGUGGCAGCAGUCGAGAAUAAUUCACAAUGGGGGCAACCCUGAUGGUGCAACGCCGCGUGGAGGAUGACGGUCUUCGGAUUGUAAACUCCUGUCAUCUGGGAGAAAGACCUGACGGUAAAUAGCCGGCAGGGGUGAUAGUACCAGAAGAGGAAGGGACGGCUAACUUCGUGCCAGCAGCCGCCGCGG